rnacentral:rRNA from 1 species
AGGAACGCUGGCGGCGUGGAUUAGGCAUGCAAGUCGAACGGUAUCAUCCUUUCGGGGGUGAGAGAGUGGCGAACUGGUGAGUAACACGUAGGUUAUCUACCUCGAAGACGGGGACAACCCAGGGAAACUUGGGCUAAUACCGGAUGUGAGCAACUUUUAGUGUUUGAAAGGUGGCGUAAGCUGUCGCUUGGGGAUGAGCCUGCGUCCUAUUAGUUAGUUGGUGAGGUAACGGCUCACCUAGGCAAUGAUAGGUAGGCGGCCUUAACGGGUGGUCGCCCACACUGGGAUUGAGAUACGGCCCAGACUCCUACGGGAGGCAGCAGUCGAGAAUAGUCUACAAUGGUCGGAAGACUGAUAGUGCGACGCCGCGUGAACGAUGAAUCCCUUCGGGGUGUAAAGUUCUUUUAUAUGUGAGCAGUGCUUCUUAUAUUAACAGUAUGGGGAGAGAGAUAUUAGCAUAUGAAUAAGCAACGGCUAACUCCGUG